UUCAUAGCAUAGUCACCCAAGUGACAGGUCAAUCUGGUUUUAGAAACUCCAUAAGUUCUAGAAAGUUUCUAUUUCCAGAUUCCGUGAUUUUCAAGUUUAGGAAUUUAGGAAUGCUUCUAAUUUGUGAGUUGUCUUAAGAAUAGAAAGUUGAGGGGUUAGUUAAUCAAUUAAUUAGUGGCCUGAUAUGCUAUGUAAUG